ACACAGGUGGUCAGGUAGAGAAUACCAAGGCGCUUGAGAGAACUCGGGUGAAGGAACUAGGCAAAAUGGUGCCGUAACUUCGGGAGAAGGCACGCUGAUAUGUAGGUGAAGCGACUUGCUCGUGGAGCUGAAAUCAGUCGAAGAUACCAGCUGGCUGCAACUGUUUAUUAAAAACACAGCACUGUGCAAACACGAAAGUGGACGUAUACGGU
rnacentral:rRNA from 1 species